UACGAAGGGGGCUAGCGUUGCUCGGAAUCACUGGGCGUAAAGCGCACGUAGGCGGCUUUGUAAGUUAGAGGUGAAAGCCCGGGGCUCAACCCCGGGUCGGCCGUGGCAACUGUCGAGCUGGAGCACUGUAGAGGCAGGUGGAAUUCCGGGUGUAGCGGUGGAAUGCGUAGAGAUCCGGAAGAACACCGGUGGCGAAGGCGGCCUGCUGGGCAGUGGCUGACGCUGAGGCGCGACAGCGUGGGGAGCAAACAGG
rnacentral:rRNA from 1 species